rnacentral:rRNA from 1 species
GGAGUGAACGCUGGCGGCAGGCCUAAUACAUGCAAGUCGAACGGCAGCACAGCAGAGCUUGCUCUGUGGGUGGCGAGUGGCGGACGGGUGAGGAAUACAUGGGAAUCUGCCCAGUCGUGGGGGAUAACGUAUGGAAACGUACGCUAAUACCGCAUGCGCCCUUUGGGGGAAAGCCGGGGAUCUUCGGACCUGGCGCGAUUGGAUGAGCCCAUGUCGGAUUAGCUAGGUUGGGGGGGUAAAGCCCACCAAGGCGACGAUCCGUAGCUGGUCUGAGAGGAUGAUCAGCCACACUGGAACUGAGACACGGU